GGGGAAUUUUCCGCAAUGGGGGCAACCCUGACGGAGCAACGCCGCGUGGGGGAGGAAGGUCUGUGGAUUGUAACCUCCUUUUCUCAGGGGAAGAAGAACUGACGGUACCUGAGGAAUCAGCAUCGGCUAACUCCGUGCCAGCAGCCGCGGUAAGACGGAGGAUGCAAGCGUUAUCCGGAAUUAUUGGGCGUAAAGCGUCCGUAGGCGGUUUAUCAAGUCUGUCGUUAAAGACUGCAGCUUAACUGUGGGCGAGCGAUGGAAACUGAUGAACUGGAGUGCGGUAGGGGUAGAGGGAAUUCCCAGUGUAGCGGUGAAAUGCGUAGAUAUUGGGAAGAACACCAGUGGCGAAGGCGCUCUACUGGGCCGCAACUGACGCUGAGGGACGAAAGCUAGGGGAGCGAAAGGGAUUAGAUACCCCUGUAGUCCUAGCUGUAAACGAUGGAUACUAGGUGUUGGGCGUAUCGACCCGUUCAGUACCGAAGUCAACGCGAUAAGUAUCCCGCCUGGGGAGUACGCACGCAAGUGUGAAACUCAAAGGAAUUGACGGGGGCCCGCACAAGCGGUGGAGUAUGUGGUUUAAUUCGAUGCAACGCGAAGAACCUUACCAGGGCUUGACAUCCCUCGAAUCUUGAUGAAAGUCGAGAGUGCCUUCGGGAGCGAGGAGACAGGUGGUGCAUGGCUGUCGUCAGCUCGUGUCGUGAGAUGUUGGGUUAAGUCCCGCAACGAGCGCAACCCACGUCCUUAGUUGCCAUCAUUAAGUUGGGCACUCUGGGGAGACUGCCGGGGACAACUCGGAGGAAGGUGUGGAUGACGUCAAGUCAUCAUGCCCCUUACGUUCUGGGCUACACACGUACUACAAUGCUUUGGACAAAGGGCAGCCAACUAGCGAUAGUGAGCUAAUCCCAUAAACCGAGGCACAGUUCAGAUUGCAGGCUGCAACUCGCCUGCAUGAAGGAGGAAUCGCUAGUAAUUGCAGGUC
rnacentral:rRNA from 1 species